rnacentral:rRNA from 1 species
UAAGAGGUCCCGCCUGCCCUGUGACUCUGGGUUUAACGGCCGCGGUAUCUUAACCGUGCGAAGGUAGCGUAAUCACUUGUCUCUUAAAUAGAGACCUGUAUGAAUGGCAUGACGAGGGCUUAGCUGUCUCCUUUCUCAAGUUAAUGAAAUUGACCUCCCCGUGCAGAGGCGGGGAUAUUACCAUAAGACGAGAAGACCCUAUGGAGCUUUAGGUGUAAAAACUGCUCAUGUAAUCAACCCCUAAUAAAGGGACUUAACCUUAUGACCACAGUUUGGAUGCCUUUGGUUGGGGCGACCGCGGGGAAACAAAAAACCCCCACGUGGACUGGGACCCCGUCCUAAAAACAAGAGCACCCGCUCUAAUUAACAGAACUUCUGACCUUACUGACCCGGCCGCCGAUCAACGGACCCAGUUACCCUAGGGAUAACAGCGCAAUCCUCUUAUAGAGCCCAUAUCGACAAGGGGGUUUACGACCUCGAUGUUGGAUCAGGAUAUCCUAAUGGUGCAGCCGCUAUUAAGGGA